rnacentral:lncRNA from 1 species
CUUUUCCAAUAGUGCGCCACAUCGCCCCCCGUUUGUACAGAGAUUUGUCCAAGUAGCACGCCCACAUGUUCUUCUCUCUUCGAGUCAAUUACUGCCUGCGCAAACGAUUUCCUCUCUCUCUGCAGAAAUCGUGGUCUCUGUUUUCUUCCCUCUACCACCUGAUUGUCCUUACAAUCAAAUCUCGUCAUCGUUCAAGUUUUCACACAUAGUUACAUAUAUAUACGUAUUUUUUGUAAAGAGGGAAACAAGGAUCAAAAAUGCCGCGAAAGAAUUUUAUAGUUGAAGUGGAACCAGCAAAGGAAGCUAGGCCACCGAUGGGACCAGUUUAUCGAAGUGUUUUUGCUAAGGAUGGAUUUCCGGAGCCGAUUCCAGGACUUGACUGCUGCUGGGAUAUUUUCCGGUGAAUUUUUUGACCCUCUGUGUUCUCGAGUUUAUUUGAAAAGUGAUUUGGAGAUUUAUUUGCAUAAUUUUAUUCAACAUUUAUCAAUUCAUUUUCGUAUUUUGAUGUUUUGGAUUCGAAGUUUAAUUGUGGAGAGGUAUUUUGAAGUGUGUGUGUUGAAUCUGUUAAUGAUUUUUCCUAUUUUCCCCCCCCUUCCUGUUAUUACGUCUCAUUGCAGGUUUGACUUUUAUAAGAUGUCAAGAUUUGAUGUGUAAAAUAUGGAAUUUUGCAAUUGAUUUUGCACAGACUUGACAAAAAGAUCUGAGUUACUACUGGUUAAAGUUUGUCUUUAUCCGCUGCAUCACUCAAAACUGAAGUUUCUGCUUUAGAUGGAGUUAUGGAAGUUUUCAACUUGAAAGCUACAAAAUUGACUACGCAAAUAUGGAUAUACCACACUUACAUGAAUUUGAUGCACAUAUAUAUCACAAUAUGUAUACACCACAAUUUGAUGUGCAUAUAUAUGUUAAAUGUAUAGGAGCAAAAAGAAAUUGUGUUUUGGAAAAUUGAUUUUGAUGAAUAUGGAAGUUUUUAGCAUGAAAGCCAUGAUCUUGACUGCACAAAUAAGGAUAUACCCCAGUUUGAUGAUUUUGAUGCACAUAUAUGCCCCACGAACUUUUCACCUCAAGUGGCUACCUUGGAUCUGAACCAUUAAAUCAAAUUCAUAUCGAUGAUGAGCUACCAAGCCAAAAUGUAUAUACUUUCCUAUUUCUAUUUUUCUGAGAAUUGUUGGAAUAAUCAGUGUACGCUUUUAUUCCCCUAUGUGUUAGUGCCCUAGUUUAUGCAUUAUUGCAUCAGCAAGUCAAGUGUUUACCAUUGAAAAGAAAAGAAGGAUUAAUUAGCUUGCUUGAGUUAGUUCCAAUAGUUGAUUUGAUAGUAUGGUUGCAUAAAUAUACUGCUUGAAUUAUACCUCUUUGCCUUUCAUUUCACUUUUUAUGUUGAACAUAGAUUGAACUCAACUUUUUUCUGUCACAGUUUGUCAGUAGAUAAAUAUCCAAAUAACCGAAUGCUUGGUCGUCGUGAGAUCGUUGAUGGAAAGGUAGAUUGCAUGGUAGAAGCAAUUUAUGCAUCCAUGCUUGUAACAUUGACUUCCUACUUAUUUUCCCCCCUUUUCAUUUGAUGCGGACUGGCAAGAAAGGAUUCAUGGCUACCCCCAAUUAUUGUAUAUAAGACUUAGUUCAUAGUUUGUGGUUGUUUUGUAUUACACCUAAUUUUUGGAGUUGUUGCUUUUACUUACAGCCCGAUAAAUAUGUAUGGAUGACUUACCAAGAAGUAUAUGACUUAGUGGUCAAAGUUGGGAACUCCAUUCGCAGCUGCGGCAUUGAGGAAGUAAGUUGUUAUCUAGUGUGUCUCAAAACUUUCUCUCAUAGCUGCUUUCUAGUCUGUCUUCUGUGUUUGAUAAGAAAUGAAAUUCUAUUAAUGAAAAGGCUAUAUUCAUUAUUCAUGGUGGGAUUAGAUGUCCUUUGAAAUCAUGAAGAAUUAUUUCCAACUGAGAACAAAUGCCUUAGAUGUUGAGGCCCAUAAGUAACAAUGACAAGAAUUUUGUCUAUUCCCAUAACUCAAGAAUAUCUUUCUUCUCUCUUUCAAAAUUCUGCAAUUGCUCUCUUUCUAUAUCACCCUGAAGGACAGCAACAUUACUAUGCCUUUCUUCCCAAACAAAAACCAAUUUACAUUUAGAGGAAUAAAUGAAGCUAAGUCUACUUCAUGCAAUAAUCCUCCAUGUAGCAUCCAUGCAACUUCACAAUGUAAAAGCAGAUGAUCAACCCAUUUGGAUCCAACUACAAAUUACGCAGCAUGAAAGAGAAUAUGAAAAGACUUGGGAUGCUUCAUCUGAAUUAAAUCGCCAUUGCCAAUCUUUUUCUUCUGGGUUUUUCCUGUUCUAAUGUCAUUUUAUGUCUGUCAUUCUGUCGUACAUAUUAUCAGGCUAGCUUUCCCAGUUUCAAACACUAUGAAGACGCAUAGUCUUCUUAAUAGGCUUUCCCGUACCCAAGUUUUUUUGAAGAAUCUACCAUUAAAAAGUUAUUUCAAAGUUACCUUGCAGACAACCAGCUAUGUCGGGUUCACUUUCUUACUUUCAAUGUCAUAUCUUGGUACUUCAUUUGCCAAAUAUAGCAUGGUUUGUUAACUUUGCUUACGGGUUAUAUAAAUAUUUAUUUGGCAAAUGUUGUUAGAUUUCUGAGUUGUGACAUUGUAUUCUCUAUUCUUUUUUAAUUUUUGUUGUUUCUCUUUAUGUUGAUUUAUUUGACUUCUGCCUGGUAUGACUCAUUAAAGUUGAUUAGGUUCAGUCUUCUAUAAAAUACUAAUUGACAUGCAAAAAACUUAAUAUCUCACUUUCUGUUCAAUUUAAUAACAAUUAUAGGAAGGCCGAUGUGGUAUUUAUGGCGCUAAUUGCCCAGAGUGGAUUAUGAGUAUGGAGGUACUCUCUUUUUACUAUUUCUGCUCUUCCCUUUUCUCUGAAUGUGUGCAUAUGUAAGCAGCAUGUUGUAAGUAUCAUUAUGAGAGAAAAAACAUGUUAUAAUCAACUGUGCGAGAAAUAACCUCCGUAGUCCUUCAGGUCCUUGUUAUUUUAUGAGUCACAUGAACUAAUUCUAAUAAACUAUUCUAUUAUGUCUUCUCAUAGUUUUCAGUUCUUCUCUUACGAUCUUACUUUUCUGUUCUUUUUUUUUUUUUUUUUUUUUUAAAUAUAUUAUCUGAAUAUCUGUAAACUGGCUCGUAUUUGGUAUCGCACACAUUGAUCACUCAUUCAAAUAAACUAAGUUAUGGAAUGUUCACAGAAAUGCAGAAGAUUGUUAUUGCUUCUGCUCAUGUAUUUCAACAUUGGUUAGUUAACCUCCUAUAGAUCCGAGCUAUUUUAUCACUUGAAAUGGUACCUAAGGGAGCUAUUUUAUCGUCCCUCAGGAUCAUUGUAUAUUGUCAAUUGAUGUUGUUUACCAAUCAAUUUGGGGCCAAUUCUUGAUCUAUUCCAAAUAGAAUAUGGAUAAAUGUCCUGUUCUUUAUUGUUCUUAAAUUUUGCAUUUCCGCAGAUUAUAAUUUCCUUUGUUUUUUUUUAUCAUAAAGCUCAUGUCUUUUGUGGAUUCAUUAGCUCCGUUCACUUGUUACCCAUUUUCCUCUCUCCUUUAUCUUUCUGCGUGUUGUAAAUUCUGGUUAACUGAUGCACUACACAAGGACCACCAGAGCAGACAUGUAUAUAUUUCAAAAUUUUCUUUAACAUGAAGAAGUAAGUAAAAUGUGUCCAUAUAUGUUCUCUUAUUCCAUUUCUCUGCUUCUGUUUUUCUUUCCAUCUUCCCCUCUCUGAAUCUCUUGAUUUUGUGGUAAAUUCUUCUGCCUUAGAUGUCAAUGAAAUUGUCGAUGUGAAUAUCUUGUAUGGAUAUUGCUGUAAUUUUCUAACACCAACAAAUUAAUGCAGGCAUGUAACGCUCAUGGACUUUACUGUGUUCCCUUAUAUGACACCUUAGGUAUGGAUCAUCCUUUCUCUUGCAUGCAUCUGUCUAUUUAUGCACUCAUAAUCAGUUGAUAUGUUCCUCUGACAUAUCACAAGACAAAUAGGCUUUUAUCUUUAGUGAGGUUGUCUUUGUAAUGUUAUCACCCAGGAGGGCCAAGAUAAUAGGUUUUUAUUGGUUCUGGAUUUUGACCGAUUCUUAUGUACGAAGACUAUCCAUGUCCAUAUAGAUACCAAUGAGAAUAAAUUGUUUAUUGUAUAUGGUUUAGGUGCUGGUGCAAUUGAGUUCAUUAUUUGCCAUGCGGAGGUUACACUUGCUUUUGUAGAAGAGAAGAAGAUUCCCGAGGUACAGUUAUCAAGUUUUAGGAAUUUGAUUGCACAACGAAUUUUUCUGUUUGAUUUUUAUUUAUGGUUCCCUUUUUAUUUUAUUAUGUACUCAUGGUUUUCACUUUUAUCUGUUUUUACUGAUAGCUACAUAAACAAUUAAUUGUCUGGAUUUUUAUGGCUGCAAUAGUUUUAACAUUUUUCUGUGUAUUUAGGACAAUAUUUAAGGUAUCGAGUUUUGAAUUUGUUUACAUUUUGCCAAAAUUCAUCUACUUUUUGCCCUGCAGCUGGUGAAAACCCUUCCCAAUGCAACAAAAUACUUAAGAAGUAAGUCACCAGCAAUGUCAGAUUUCUGUUUCAUUAUUUUUCGUGGAUUUAAAUGCAAAAAAAGUGAUAACAUAAACUUCUUUUAUUUAUUUAUUUUUUGUUUCAGCUAUUGUGAGCUUUGGGAAAGUCACUUUUCAACAGAGGGAAGAAGUUAAAAAAUUUGGCAUUGCUAUAUAUUCUUGGAAUGAAUUUUUGUUAUUGGUAAGCCUUUUGAUUUCAACCUUUUAUUUCUUUCUUGAUUGUUUCACUCAUUGCCAAGUAUAGUGGGAAAACUUCUCAGCUAACUACCAUACGACUCUCAUUUCAAACUUAAGGUGACUACUUUGUUUACGAGGUUGAACAUUAGGUCAUGUCCAGUUUGCACCUCCCGUUGCCCCUAUUUAUUGCUUAGAAACAUGGCUAUGAUGAGUAUCAAAGUCAUUUUGUCCUAAUUUCUUUUCAUGCAUAAGCAUCACGAACUUUGGGGCCUAAGUUCUUGAAAUUUAAGUAAAGGUUUCUGCAAUCUAAUGGACUGAGAUGGGUAAAGUAGUUAGUCUGGGAUAAUAGAUCUAGCAUUGGACCUUAAAAUUUAGUGACACUUACAAGAAAAUCCUUGAAUCUAGUAGAUUGAUAUACAAGUGUAAAGUUAAUAUAACUUGCAUACGAGAUGUCAAAUAAGAGAGGAUAGAAGACGAAAUUGUUGGAAAAUAGGAAUAUAAACUAUAUGAGCCGAGUUUAAAGACGCAUUCUCAUCUAUAACUUCAGAAAUUUGCAGAAGUUUCUUUGCUUCUUUUUGAUAUUACAUGCCACUGAAGUUAGAUAAUUUUGCUUCAUUAUUUUAUGGUGUCUUUGGGGAAAUUUUGAAAUAAGGCAUUAUGCAUUGAGUGGUUGGCUUGUGUCUGGCUCUCUUACCAGUAGUUAGAGGCUUGCUUGAGCUGUUAUGGAUUCUUUUCUGAAGAAAUUAAGCAUCUCUGUCGACUUUGAUCGGGAAGAUUAUAAUAUCAUAUUUAUUUGGUAUGUUGAACCUUGUUUAUGCCCUCGAAAAAUGUCAAUAAUGCAUGAAUGAGACCGUAUUUUCCUCCCCAUUUUUCAAUCUGCUAAACAAAACAGAACAUUUGAUUAUUGUAUUUUGAAUUCUUUACUAUUUAUCACUUUUAAAUACUGAAGCAUGUUGCUGUAGCUUAGGAGCUGCAACUGUAUGUGAAAUCUUAUCAAAGAUCUUUUCUUUCCUUCGAGUAUAUGGGUUACAUGGAUACUUGGUCCUUCUCCUGGGGAGCCAUUACAAAAUUCUUAUUUCCAUUCUCUCCUCUGAAGAAGCCACUGGAAAAUUUGAUUGAUCACUAAGUGAUUGAAAUCCAUUUCAGUUGUCCUACUUCCAGCAUGAAGAAUUGUUGUUAGCAGAAUGAUUGAAAAAGUUACUGUAUUGUCCAUCAUGCAUAUUUUUGUGUUUAUUUACAUCAUAUAGGACAAUUUCCUCCUAAACUUGACAUGGAAAAUUUAAGCACUGAUACAUAGCCUGGUCCAUUGGGAAAGCGAACCAACAUUGUUAUUUUGAUCUGAAUUUUUUAGGUUCCUGAUAAUUUUGCACAGUCAUUAGAAAAGAAAAAGACUGAAGUUUUGACGAUCUGUGUUAUUUGUCAAUCUAAAUUUGUAAUUCAUAAAUUACCUUCUAUCUGGAAAACACCCUGUUUCAUGUGCUUGCUGCAAAUAUCUAACUCAUUUCUCUUCCAUUUCAACAGUAUCUGUUAAGUCAACCAAUAAUAUUUAUGAUAAUUGAUGGAAUCGAGUAAAUUUUGUGACUUGAAAGAAAGUAGCUAACUUUUGAAAUUCUGCCUUUAAAGGCUGUCUUUCUACCACAUUUCCUUUUCUAAUUUUUUAUGUCCUUUGGGGAGUUCAGCCAAGAAAUAAAACACGGGGACUGAAAAGCAAUUUACUGAAGAUGUAUGUGCAACUGCAAAUUGCAACUUAUGCAGGGGGGGAUAAUUUUCAAUUUUUUUGGUAUGGGGUGAUAAUGCAGGGAAGUGGGGACAAUGAAAUCCAAUUUAUCUAUGCUUUGUAGUUGCUACCAUAUCUUGAUUGCUAGGGCUUAUUUCAUGAACCAUUCACAACAAGCAAAUACAAUCUUUCUCUUAGUAGCAUCUCUUGCGUUUGUGAAAUGUAUUAACUUUCUUAUCUAGUAUGUGUAUAAAGGUAUAUUGUGUAUACCGCAUUAUUUAAUGAUACAAUCUAAUGUUGAUUGAUCCAAUAUGAUUGGAUAUAGUCUUUUCCUUCCCUUCUAGUAAUUUACUUUCUCAUUUUUUCUUCUAAUUAGUUUGGGUUGCUUACCUGUUGCUUGACCUCAUUAUGGCACCUCUGUCAUUUUGCAGGGAGACAAUAAACAGUUUGAUCUACCAGUGAAAAAGAAAAGUGACAUUUGUACAAUUAUGUAUACUAGUGGAACCACCGGCGACCCCAAGGGCGUUAUGAUUUCAAAUAAUAGUAUUGUUACGCUGGUAGCUGGAGUAAAGCGCCUUCUAAGGAGUGUUGAAGAAUCGGUAACUAUCGUAUAUUUACUUUCGGGACAUUGUCGUGGAUUAAGUGGAUGAAUAAGAUUUAGCCCCUCUUUCAGCCCCACUUUAUAAAAAUUCAUUUCCCCAAACCUACUUUCAAGUUUCAACCAUGCACCCAAUUAAAUAAUUUUACAUGUAAACUCAAAUUUUUUCCUACAUUUAACCACACAUUCUCCAAACAAUCAAUAUUACAUAACCUGUUUUCCCCUUAAAACAGGGCUCAAUCGGAGGCUUAAAAUGUUUCUACCAAUUUCAGUCAAAACGUUGAAGCAGCAAUUAAUUGAUUAUUUCGAAUCAUUUGAGUAGGAUUUUCAACUUCUUACUAUUUUAUCUUUCAGUUGACUGUCAAUGAUGUGUAUCUAUCAUAUCUUCCCUUGGCACAUAUCUUUGAUCGGGUGAUCGAAGAGUGUUUUAUCAAUCAUGGGGCCUCAAUAGGAUUUUGGCGUGGGGUAAGAAAGCUACAUUUAUUUUUCUAGUCAUACUGGAGCUUAUGUAAUAAAUUUUUAAUUUAACUUAUCUGCAGGAUGUUAAGUUAUUGGUUGAAGACAUUGGAGAGCUAAAACCUACUGUUUUAUGCGCCGUUCCUCGGGUAUUAGAUAGAAUUUAUUCAGGUUUGUUUUGCUCAUCCAGAUUUAUAAAAAUAUUACUAAUUAGUAGAUAUUUAUAUUUUCGUACACAGUUUUGGAAUGUUGAAAAAUAUAGUCCUGAUAUUAGAUGAUUUUUAUGAAAUUAUUAGAUACAAUAUUGCUUUUUGACUGUUUUAAGUGUAGAUAACCUACUUCGACAAUGAAAUCCAGUUUCUAACCUAUAUUAGUUCAAUCCAGUGGCCUAUCCUCAUGCAAAUAAUUUACUUGUCAAAUGAGCAGUUAGAUAUUGGUAAUGGAACUAAUAAAAUAGCAGCAUAUGACAUUUUAAAAUCUGGAAUGGAAAAUUCAUGUAUUCUGGGAGGGACAAGGCAACUUGCUGCUUGUUUGUUCUCCAAAGUAGUCAAAAAAUUUCUCUCUUUGGAUUGAUAUGUGCAUUUUGUUGUCCUUGAUUUCUGUGCUCAUUUCAGGUUUGCAACAGAAGAUUGCUGCUGGGGGUUUCAUUAAACAAACAUUGUUUAAUUUUGCCUACUCUUAGUAAGUUCUGUUUUAGCUUUCCUUAGUUCUUGAUGGACGAAGAGUAAUACGUGGAAGUUCAAACUGAACUCGAAUUUUUACUUCUGACUAUUUUUUUUACACUAUUUAAUAUCCUCUCUGUCUAUUUCAACUUGAAAUGUUGUCUAUUUUGAAUCCUUAACCAUUUAAGUUUUCUAUUGUUCUAAUAUGCAUGUUAAAAUUGAUGCAGCAAGUUACGUAAUAUGAGGAAGGGACUGAAACAUUCUAAAGCUGCUCCACUCUGUGACAAAGUCGUUUUCAGUAAGGUAGUGAAUUUAUGCUGUAUGGAUCUGCUAUACCUUUGUUUAUAUUCUUCCACGUUUCAACUUGCAUUUCUUUUGCGUGCUCUUUCAGGUAAAACAGGGAUUAGGGGGCAAUGUACGACUUAUUUUGUCUGGAGCAGCGCCUCUUGCCUCUCAUGUAGAAGAGUAUCUACGAGUAGUGUCAUGUUCAUAUGUUCUUCAAGGAUACGGUAUUUUGCUUUCAUCCUGUCAAGUUAUGCCUGCAAAUAUUGGAUAUUUUUCUCUUUGUUCAUGUUACAGUGACUUCCUGCUCCUAGUGAAGUGUGUUUUUAUCUGUUCAACACUUCAAAAUUAAUAAUUGCCCCCUUGCUUUGUGAUCUGGAAUCCAGAUGUCAUGUUAUUUUCCCAUUGAGAUGUCAGCUGAGAAUUUCAACUUACAUUAAUCCUCAAAAUUUUAAAUGCUAUGUUUAUGUUUGUUAUACUAGUGAGAAGCUAUAUUUAAUCUUUUGAAUUGAUUUUUCCCUAAAUAAUGCUACCUGUUUCUUAUCCUGAUGCCCUAAUAUUUGUAAGAUAGCUCUGGUUCAUAAAGUGUAAACCUUCCUUUUCUGGUUUUUAUAUGGAGAUUAAAAUGUAGAGUGGAGCACAAAUUCCAUUAUUUGCAGUUUUAUCACACAAUAUAUCAUUAAUUGUGUUCUAGUAAGUGUUGCGUGGAAGAGAAGAUCACCAAAGGCUUUAUACUGGGCUUAGUAUCCUCAACAAUCAACACCAGUAUGAAAAUCAAUUUAUACGCCCAGAAUCUGACGCGCUAGUGCUGAAAUUUAACCACGAUAAGCCAAUUCACCAAAGCGGAUCACAUCUGAAGGUCCAUAAAAUCGAGAUAUACGAAUCUGCUCCUUUAAGGCCAUCAUUAUUCACCCUAAAGAUUUAGCAGAUAUUCAAAUCCAAUUAACCAAUGAUCGCAGAUUGAGCAUCCAAGGGCAAAAUUAUCCAAAUUUUUUUGUAUAACCUGAAACACGAAAUUAACUAUAUUAGUACGUUUAGAAAAUUAAAACGAGCAACCUGUUUGAAGAAAGCUUGUCCAGAGUUGCCGUCACGUGCCGUCGCAGGAGAUGCACGUGCCACCACUGCCACGCGCCACUCGUGGAGGAGUGCCUUCACUUGCUGAAGCUGGGUCUCGAUCGAAACUUUCAGGUUCAGCCCCUUCGAGAAAUUGGCUUGGAUGCUGUUCAGUAGAUUUCCAGCCCGAAAAUGCUCACACGAAGCUCUAAUACCAGAUGUUGCGCGGAAGAGAAGAUCACCAAAGGGUUUAUACAGGCUCAGUAUCUCUAACAAUCGACACCAAUAUGAAAAUCAAUCCAAAACUCCCUCGAACCGCUUUUCACUUGCGGUUGCUUCUUGUUCACCCACUUAGGAUGUGCACAGCAAGAUAUAAUCAUAAAGAAAAAGUAAACACAAAGGCAGUGGAAAGGAAGCAGUAGAUAGAAAACCACAGAGGGAGCCGCCUGUUUUCACACAGAGAGAAGAGGUAGAGACUGAAUUCAUAUGACCAAGAGACGAGGCAGCCCAAGAUAUAUAGGUAUCAUUAGUGUACAGUAAUGGGUCAAGCCCAAUAGGUAAGUAAAUAUGCUGCUAGGUGGGUUUCCAAAUGUUAACCAUCUAGGUAAGUGGAAACGGGCCAUGAGCAGUACUAAUUAAAUUGGGUUGCUUCAAAUGGUCCAAACAGUUUUGGGGUCGGGUUAUUUCAUUAUGGUAUUGAUUUAUCGUUCAGUUAUUUGGUCGAUGUCGAUUGAGAAAAUAUACCGAGUUACACCACAGCCCUGGGGGUCGUUUGACAACGAAUUGCCCAACAGGAAGAUACUCUUGAUUAAGGGACAAGGAUAGAUUUUCUUUUUUAAAUGUCAUAAAUUGUUGCCUGUAGUACAUAGGUUUGUGUAGGUGUAAUGCUGAUUUCCUUAACCUAGAAAUUAAUUGAUUGGCAGUUGUAAUAGGUAUUUUCCAGCUCUAGAUGGUAUCUGACUUGAUUUCUCUACUGUGAUAUAGGUUUGACAGAAACUUGUGCUGGUACAUUUGUAUCUAUACCAGAUGAGAUGGACAUGCUGGGUACAGUAGGUCCUCCAGUGCCCAAUGUGGAUGUGCGCCUGGAAUCUGUUCCCGAAAUGAAUUACAAUGCCCUUUCAAGUACUCCACGUGGAGAAGUAUGCAUAAGGGGAGAUACAUUAUUUUCCGGCUACUUCAAACGUGAAGACCUUACAAAUGAAGUCUUGACUGAUGGGUGGUUCCACACAGGUUGGUUUGUUCUGUCACUAGUUCAAUUUAAGGUUCAGUAUUUCGAAUGUCUUUUCAUCUUCAUUUUGAUAAAAAUCUCUUUUGUCAGGGGAUAUUGGUGAGUGGCAACCAAAUGGAAGCUUGAAAAUUAUUGAUCGCAAAAAGAAUAUNAGAAAGUAGCUAACUUUUGAAAUUCUGCCUUUAAAGGCUGUCUUUCUACCACAUUUCCUUUUCUAAAUUUUUAUGUCCUUUGGGGAGUUCAGCCAAGAUAUAAAACACGGGGACUGUAAAGCAAUUUACUGAAGAUGUAUGUGCAACUGCAAAUUGCAACUUAUGCAGGGGGGGAUAAUUUUCAAUUUUUUGGUAUGGGGUGAUAAUGCAGGGAAGUGGGGACAAUGAAAUCCAAUUUAUCUAUGCUGUGUAGUUGCUACCAUAUCUUGAUUGCUAGGGCUUAUUUCAUGAACCAUUCACAACAAGCAAAUACAAUCUUUCUCUUGGUAGCAUCUCUUGCGUUUGUGAAAUGUAUUAACUUUCUUAUCUAGUAUGUGUAUAAAGGUAUAUUGUGUAUACCGCAUUAUUUAAUGAUACAAUCUAAUGUUGAUUGAUCCAAUAAGAUUGAAUAUAGUCUUUUCCUUCUCUUCUAGUAAUUUACUUUCUCAUUUUUUCUUCUAAUUAGUUUGGGUAGCUUACCUGUUGCUUGACCUCAUUAUGGCACCUCUGUCAUUUUGCAGGGAGACAAUAAACAGUUUGAUCUACCAGUGAAAAAGAAAAGUGACAUUUGUACAAUUAUGUAUACUAGUGGAACCACCGGCGACCCCAAGGGCGUCAUGAUUUCAAAUAAUAGUAUUGUUACGCUGGUAGCUGGAGUAAAGUGCCUUCUAGGGGGUGUGGAAGAAUCGGUAACUGUCAUAUAUUUACUUUCGGGACAUUGUCGUGGAUUAAGUUGAUGAAUAAGAUUUAGCCCCUCUUUGAGCCCCACUUUAUAAAAAUUCAUUUUCCCCAUACCUACUUUCAAGUUUCAACCAUGCACCCAAUUAAAUAAUUUUACAUGUAAACUCAAAUUUUUUUCUAUAGUUAACCACACAUUCUCCAACACAAUCAAUACUACAAAACCUAUUUUCCCCUUAAAACAGGGCUCAAUCAGAGGCUUAAAAUGUUUCUACCAAUUUCAGUCAAAACGUUGAAGCAGCAAUUAAUUGAUUAUUUCGAAUAAUUUGAGUAGGAUUUUCAACUUCUUACUAUUUUAUCUUUCAGUUGACUGUCAAUGAUGUAUAUCUAUCAUAUCUUCCCUUGGCACAUAUCUUUGAUCGGGUGAUCGAAGAGUGUUUUAUCAAUCAUGGGGCCUCAAUAGGAUUUUGGCGUGGGGUAAGAAUGCUACAUUUAUUUUUCUAGUCAUACUGGAGCUUAUGUAAUAAUUUUUUAAUUUAACUUAUCUGCAGGAUGUUAAGUUAUUGGUUGAAGACAUUGGAGAGCUAAAACCUACUGUUUUUUGCGCCGUUCCUCGGGUAUUAGAUAGAAUUUAUUCAGGUUUGUUUUGCUCAUCCAGAUUUAUAAAAAUAUUACUAAUUAGUAGAUAUUUUUAUUUUCGUACACAGUUUUGGAAUGUUGAAAAAUAUAUUCCUGAUAUUAGAUGAUUUUAUGAAAUUAUUAGAUACAAUAUUGCUUUUUGACUGUUUUAAGUGUAGAUAACCUCCUGCGACAAUGAAAUCCAGUUUCUAACCUAUAUUAGUUCAAUCCAGUGGCCUAUCCUCUUGCAAAUAAUUUACUCGUCAAAUGAGCAGUUAGGUAUUGGUAAUGGAACUAAUAAAAUAGCAGCAUAUGACAUUUUAAAAUCUGGAAUGGAAAAUUCAUGUAUUCUGGGAGGGACAAGGCAACUUUCUGCUUGUUCGUUCUCCAAAGUAGUCAUAAAAUUUCUCUCUUUGGAUUUAUACGUGCAUUUUGUUGUCCUUGAUUUCUGUGCUCAUUUCAGGUUUGCAACAGAAGAUUGCUGCUGGGGGUUUCAUUAAACAAACAUUGUUUAAUUUUGCCUAUUCUUAGUAAGUUCUGUUUUAGCUUUCCUUAUUUCUUGAUGGACGAAGAGUAAUAAGUGGAAGUUCAAAUUGAACUCGAAUUUUUACUUCUGACUAUUUUUUACACUACUUAAUAUCCUGUCUGUCUAUUUCAACUUGAAAUGUUGUCUAUUUUGAAUCCUUAACCAUUUAUGUUUUCUAUUGUUCUAAUAUGCAUGUUAAAAUUGAUGCAGCAAGUUACGUAAUAUGAGGAAGGGACUGAAACAUUCUAAAGCUGCUCCACUCUGUGACAAAAUCGUUUUCAGUAAGGUAGUGAAUUUAUGCUGUAUGGAUCUGCUAUACCUUUGUUUAUAUUCUUCCACGUUUCAACUUGCAUUUCUUUUGCGUGCUCUUUCAGGUAAAACAGGGAUUAGGGGGCAAUGUAAGACUUAUUUUGUCUGGAGCAGCGCCUCUUGCCUCUCAUGUAGAAGAGUAUCUACGAGUAGUGUCAUGUUCAUAUGUUCUUCAAGGAUACGGUAUUUUGCUUUCAUUCUGUCAAGUUAUGCCUGCAAAUAUUGGAUAUUUUUCUCUUUGUUCAUGUUACAGUAACUUCCUGCUCCUAGUGAAGUGUGUUUUUAUCUGUUCAACACUUCAAAAUUAAUAAUUGCCCCCUUGCUUUGCGAUCUGGAAUCCAGAUGUCAUGUUAUUUUCCCAUAGAGAUGUCAGCUGAGAAUAUCAACGUACUUUAAUCCACAAAAUUUUAAAUGCUAUGUUUAUGUUUGUUAGACUAGUGAGAAGCUAUAUUUAAUCUUUUGAAUUGCUUUUUCCCUAAAUAAUGCUACCUGUUUCUUAUCCUGAUGCCCUAAUAUUUGUAAGAUAGUUCUGGUUCAUAAAGUGUAAACCUUUCUUUUCUGGUUUUUAUAUGGAGAUUAAAAUGUAGGGUGGAGCACAGAUUCCAUUAUUUGCAGCUUUAUCACACAAUAUAUCAUUAAUUGUGUUCUAGUAAGUGUUGCGUGGAAGAGAAGAUCACCAAAGGCUUUAUACUGGGCUUAGUAUCAUCAACAAUUGACUCCAGUAUGAAAAUCAAUUUAUAUGCCCAGAAUCUGAUGUGCUAGUGCUGAAAUUUAACCACGAUAAGCCAAUUCACCAGAGCGGAUCACAUUUGAAGGUCCAUAAAAUUGAGAUAUAUGAAUCUGCUCGUUUAAGGCCACCAUUAUUCACUCUAAAGAUUUAGCAGAUAUUCCAAUGCAAUUAACCAAUGAUCGUAGAUUGAGCAUCCAGGGGCAAAAUUAUCCAAAAUUUUUUAACCUAAAACACGAAAUUAACCAUAUUAGCACAUUUAGAAAAUUAAAACGAGCAACUUGUUUGAAGAAAGCUUCUCCAGAGUUGCCGCCACGUGCCGUCGCAGGAGAUGCAUGUGCCACCGCUGCCACGCGCCACUCAUGGAGGAGCGCCUUCACCUGCUGAAGCUAGGUCUGGCCUUAGUUUGCCUGACCAAUGACUGGUUUGGCUGGAAUCAAAACUUUCAGGUUCGGUCCCUUCGGAAAAUUGGCUUGGAUGCUGUUCAGUAGAUUUCCAGCCCGAAAAAGCUCACACGAAGCUCUAAUACCAGAUGUUGCGCGGAAGAGAAGAUCACCAAAGGCUUUAUACAGGCUCAGUAUCUCUAACAAUCGACACCAAUAUGAAAAUCAAUCCAAAACUCCCUUGAAGUGCUUUUCACUUGCAGUUGCUUCUUGUUCACCCACUUAGGAUGUGCACAGGAAGAUAUAAUCACAAAGAAAAAGUAACCACAAAGGCAGUGGAAAGGAAGCGGUAGAUAGAAAACCACGGAGAGGGAGCCGCCUGUUUUCACACAGAGAGAAGAGGCAGAGACUGAAUUCACAUGACUAAGAGACGAGGCAGCCCAAGAUAUAUAGGUGGUUUCAUUAGGGUAUAGUAAUGUGUCAACCCCAAUAGGGAAGUAAAUAGGCUGCUAGGUGGGUUUCCAAAUGUUAACCAUCUAGGUAAGUGGAAAUGGGCCAUGAGCAGCACUAAUUAAAUUAGGUUGCUUCAAAUGGUCCAAACGGUUUCGGGGUCGGGUUAUUUCAUUAUGGUAUUGAUUUAUCGUUCAGUCAUUUGGUCGAUGUCGAUUGAGAAAAUAUACCGAGUUACACCACAGGCUUGGGAGUCGUUUGACAACGAAUUGCCCAACAGGAAGAUACUCUUGAUUAAGGGACAAGGAUAGAUUUUCUUUUUUAAAUGUCACAAAUUGUUGCCAGUAGUACAUAGGUUUGUGUAGGUGUAAUGCUGAUUUCCUUAACCUAGAAAUUAAUUGAUUGGCAGUUGUAAUAGGUAUUUUCCAGCUCUAGAUGGUAUCUGACUUGAUUUCUCUACUGUGAUAUAGGUUUGACAGAAACUUGUGCCGGUACAUUUGUAUCUAUACCAGAUGAGAUGGACAUGCUAGGUACAGUGGGUCCUCCAGUGCCCAAUGUGGAUGUGCGCCUGGAAUCUGUUCCCGAAAUGAAUUACAAUGCCCUUUCAAGUACUCCACGUGGAGAAGUAUGCAUAAGGGGAGAUACAUUAUUUUCCGGCUACUUCAAACGUGAAGACCUUACAAAUGAAGUCUUGACUGAUGGGUGGUUCCACACAGGUUGGUUUGUUCUGUCACUAGUUCAAUUUAAGGUUCAGUAUUUCGAAUGUCUUUUCAUAUUCAUUUUGAUAAAAAUCUCUUUUGUCAGGGGAUAUUGGUGAGUGGCAACCAAAUGGAAGCUUGAAAAUUAUUGAUCGCAAGAAGAAUAUUUUCAAGCUCUCACAAGGAGAAUAUGUUGCCGUGGAAAACUUGGAGAAUAUUUAUGGUCUAGUUCCCGAUAUUGAAUCGGUAUGUGUGUCGAACUGUUGAUACAUAUACACAAUUAUGUGCACGUGCAUAUACAAGUUGCAAAUUCUUCUCUAUGAUAUCUAUCUGCAAAUCAGACAUGCAGGGGAAAAACAAAAGAAGAUAAAGAAAUGGUCUAUGUAAAAUGCAAUAAUGUGAUGGGCAUUUGAGUAUUGAUACAUUAUCUCGAUUGAGAUUUUGUAUCUCACAUUAACAUUUAUUAAUCUGCAGAUAUGGAUAUACGGGAACAGCUUUGAGUCUUUUCUUGUAGCUGUAAUCAACCCAAGCAAACAAGCAGUUGAACGGUGGGCGGAACAGAAUGGUAUAUCUGGGGACUUCAAUGCCCUUUGUCGGAAUCCAAAAGUGAAAGAAUACAUACUUGGAGAGCUCUCAAAGACUGCGAAGGAAAAGAAGGUAUUUUCCUCCUCUUACCUCUUUAUUCAAUCAUUGUAGACUUCUUAAUCAUUCUGAUGGCACCUGUCUUUCAUGCUAGUUGCUGAAAGUAUAGCAGAAGAAAAAUGUUUUGGAAGUUUCAAUGCUUCUCUAAGCUUUGCUAUUACAUAUUUUGCAGUUAAAGGGUUUUGAAUUCAUAAAAGCAGUACACCUUGAUCCGGAACCAUUUGACAUGGAACGAGACCUUCUCACUCCGACAUUUAAGAAGAAAAGGCCCCAGCUGCUUAAGUACUACCAGGUAGAUUUUCUAUGACCAGUCUAAGGAGAUCAUAAGAUGCCUUUUGUUUCUGGUUUAAUAAAUUGCCAUCCUUUUUUUGCUUAAAAAAAAAAAAAAAAGUGUCAGCAAAUGUAUUCCCACCACCUGCUUGGUUUCUCUGGUCUCCAACCAUUCUCCUUUCUGUCUCUCCGUUGAUAUUCAUGGACUCACUCGAAUUUGCAAAGCAGUAUUUCUUUUCUUGAAAGUUGCUGGUGUUAUCCUCGAGGCACGUAGGAACUUUCUACAUUUUCCGAGCAUCUUGCCAUUCUUACCACCCAAAUGAAAGAGCUAUAUUGGCUGGUGUUAUCGUAUUUACAAGCCAAAUUUUAUGUUACCCAGUGAUGCGCAACGUUUCUAUGUUCCUAAGACGGUUACUUUGUUUUGCAGAAUGUUAUUGACAGCAUGUAUAAGAAUGCAAAAUAAGCAGGCUGCUCUGACGAACUUCCUUAUGGGAUAUCACCAUAAAGUUGCUAUGCUUUGAUAACACCAUUCUGCCGGUCACAUUUUAUUUCUGUAACACUUUUACAUGUCUACGCAUCAUCAUUCCCCUACCCUGUCGAGAACGAAAAAAAAAUAAAAAUAAAAAAAAAGAAGAAAAGAGCUUUACGUUUUGGAUGUACAUAUGGCUGAUAACGAUUGAAAUUGUCUCAAUUUCAUUGUAUUAUUAAACGUUUAGAUUAUUUUCUUUUUGGAUACAACGCCAGUUGUGACUUUUGAGCUAGAAAGUUAUUUUGUUUAUGCCGAUAAUAGUGAAGAUAUGUUUCAGGUU